CUGCGCCCGAGGGUGGCCUUCUCCGGCGGAUCAGCACGCCGGCCCCCGGUAUCCCUGCAGCCUGGCUCCGGCUAGGAGGCGGGGACGGCGAUCCAUCCGGAGAAAACCAACUCCAACCCUGGGAGACGAUCGUUUUCCGGCACAGACUCCAAUGCCCGGGACACGGUGGGUGCCAGGGUACCUGGUCGGUCUCGGCUUCCCGAGUGGCUGCGUCGCCCCCAGCAACCCUGGACGCAGUCAGGCCGCAAGAAAACGGACGAAGAACCGGGAAGCCUAGCCUCUGGCCAAUUAUUUACCCAGUCUCCCAACACGAGCUCCCCGAGCUCUCAGAGGGGAUAGUUUUGGCAUCCAGAAGUACCUUUUAAUUGUUGAAGGGUAGUGAAAACUACCAAUAGCAGCGAGUUUUAAUCCUCCAUCACGGGCAGAUGUCCCCUCCACAACUCAAGCCCUUGCUCGAAUGUAGAGAAGAUAAAAAGGUCGUGGGCCCCCUUCUCCAGAUUUGUUCGCAGACCCCCGCUGGCUUCCGGCGGUGGAACCCGGCGCGCCGGACACUCCCGAGGUCUCCUUAGGACACCGCAUACCGCGAGGGACAAAGACCCGCGCCGCGCCCGGGGAGCACCCCCCUUUCUCGGGCCCCUUCUGGUCCAAACACAACAAGACCGGUGUGGGAGCCCCAAGUUGCACGGGAUUGUCGGGCGGGGGGCGGUGGAAUAAAAGCCCUUCCCUUCCUGGCUCUGCAAAAUCGAUGGGGUUGGUGUGGCUUUUGAAGAGCGGGGAGUGUGCUAGCAAUCCACCUGCUGGGCGAACAGCCCAAGGCCGGGCCUUCCCGGGAGAGGGGACCGGACGCCCCACCAGGAAGCUUCCCCUAGCCUCCACCCCGCUAAACCCCGCACGAGAACUCCUGCUUCCCCCGGGUCUUUCCGUAUUAGAAACCAUCUAGAAAUCAAUCUCUCUUGAUUUAUGGGGCCCGCCUCGCGGCGGCAGGAGCCUCCAGAAGUAGCCCCAGAGUUGAUUUAAACCGGGAAGUCUAUUUCUCAGGCAUCCACAUGUGUUUGUACACACACACCCAAUAAGAAACCUGACUUUUUACUUUACAAUGUGCGAAUACAAUAUAGCUGGAAGCUCUCACGGCGAGGCCCAUUUAUGUGGCCGUAUUGUGUUUAAUGUGGGAGCCCCCGCCGCUGCCAGCCCUCCCUGGGGGCUUCACCAGCAUCUCCCCCAGAACCUCGGCGGAGAACUUCAGACCUUGAUUCCCGAGCUCUAGAGGCAGGAAGAGUCAGAGCGCCCCC
rnacentral:lncRNA from 1 species